GUCUUUUUGAAAUAAUUUAAAGUCUAAUCUGCCCACUGAUAAAAUUAAAGGGCUGCAGUAUAUUGACUGUACAAAGGUAGCAUAAUCAUUAGUUUUUUAAUUGGAAACUUGUAUGAAAGAUUUGAUGAAAUAUAAACUGUCUCUAAUUUAUAAAUUGAAAUUUAUUUUUUAGUAAAAAAGCUAAAAUAGGUUUAAAAGACGAGAAGACCCUAUAGAGUUUUAUAUUUAAUUUUAUUUGAAAAUUAUAUAAAAAUUAAUAUUCAAAUAAAAUUAAAUAUUAUAUUGGGGUGAUAGAAAAAUUAAAUUAACUUUUUUUAAAAAUUAAACAUAAAUAAAUGAUUAAAUGAUCCAUAAAUAAUGAUUAUAAGAAAAAAUUACCUUAGGGAUAACAGCGUAAUAUUUUUUUUUAGCUCAAAUAAGAAAAAAAGUUUGCGACCUCGAUGUUGGAUUAAGAUAAAAUUUAAAUGCAAAAGUUUAAAAUUUUGAUCUGUUCGAUCAUUAAAAUCUUACA
rnacentral:rRNA from 1 species